rnacentral:lncRNA from 1 species
AGGUGGCAGCUUGGGUUCCAUUGCUCAGCUUUUCAAGGCUUUGGUGGAAUGAGAAGGUUUCCCACCAUCUUACUCUGGGGCCCUAGGAAAGGGGGUUGGGUGCUGGGCAGAGGCCCAGCCCAAGUUCAGUGCCUUGACCCCUGUCCUGUCCUGCCAGGCCAUCAUGACAUACCUGUUUGCUGCUAGUGAGGCAAGUGUUUGGGGCUGGGCCAGCGUGGGUGGCCAGAGGGCAGAGAGGGCCAGGAACAUCCCAUGUCCACCCUGGCCUCAGCAAGGACCAAGCCUGUGAGUGGUCAUUUCCACCAGUGAGCAGAGAAGGGGUACUUACAGUAUCCUACAGGACUACACAGGCAGGUGGAUAUCUGGGGAGGAGCUAUUGGGGUGAGAAGGGGGUGAGAUGAGAGCACAGCAAGCAGGGUAGGGAGCAUGUGACAGGCCGUAGGCAUUGGUGACUCGGUGCACCUGGGCAGUGGGUGGGGCCUCACUUUGGUGACUUUGCUCAGGUCACAUGUCCCUAGAUCUUUCUAAUUGCACUGUAAGGGGCCUUGGUCUGAUCUGAUCACAUGAAGCUCAAUGCUACCUCCACAGUCACCUUUUGAACACUUCCCAGUGCCCAGCUUGGUUGGGGACACUGAGGAGUGAGACUGGCGGAUACACAGUCCUAGGGAUGUAUCAUCUGACAGGGUCAGAUUUCCCAGGCUGUGUGUGUGUACCCCGUGUGCCUACACGUGCCCCCUAUCUUGUCCCCCAGGCUGAAGUCUCAGCCAGACCCUGCAGGUCCUACAUCGACCUGAUUGUGGUGGACACACAGAAGCCCUGCUUCUUCGUGGCGGGAUGGUCCUGAGACAGGUCAACAUGGUAAUAUCAGGUGGUCAGGCCCUGUCCACCUUGGGGGAGACUUCCUGACCUUGGACUUGACCUGCCUAUGGCCACUGCUGGCUCUGCUGACUGUCUGUCCCUGAAGGCAGAUAACUGGGGGGCCACUUUGAGUCCCCACAACCUCUACCCUUACAGGGGAAAAGUUGUGGUUCUCCUGACUCAGGGCCCCUCUGUAUCUGCCAGAACUCGGGGAAUCUCUGUGUGGGGACUUACACUGGGCCCCAGCAGCACUGCACUCUACUCUGGAGACACCUCCUUUACCAGGAGCCCACGUCCUAACCUUUCCGCUGGGCAGGAAGAGUGGUCGAAGCAGCUGAAGAGGCUGGAGACUCACCUGGUGGAUCUGUACCAGUGAGAGCCAUACCUUUUUGAGGGUGGUAGUGGGGAGAAGGAUGGAGGUGAUGGCCGUGUCCCGGUCUGGCUGUGAGGCCUGGGCAAUGUCAUCAGGGAACUGAGAAGAGUGAUCACAUUCUGUGACCUCUAGGCCUUUCCUCUUAACCCAUCCAGGACGGACUUGGGUGGGGGUCUCACGCCUGUGCACACCCCCACCCCAAUUUUCCUGGCCGCCAGGCUGCUUCUUGACGCCCCACUGGGCCGGGGGAGGUCACACUCUUCUACUCCCUGGAUCACAGGGCCAUUUUUGCACCAGGUACAUGGAUGGGAGCAGUUAUGGGCUACAAGCCAUCCCCGCCACCAAGAAGGAGAUUCAGGAGAGCAGUGGAGGAGGGGCCCGCGCGACCUCUCCCAUCCCUGCCUGGAUCGGCUUUGUUUCCGGCCCUGGAGCCCAGCUCGCACAUUUUCCAAGCUAGCCAAGCUCCAUAGACCUUGUCCUCUGGCGCCCUCUGCUGGCCUGCAUUUCCGCAGCGCCGGCAGGCUGCCUGGAGGCUGGGCGAGCCGGGUCCCUCUGUCCUCAAGGCCGCUCAAUCUAGAAAAGUGCCGCCUGCUGGGCCCAGUCUUCAAGUGGCCGGCUGGCCAGCUGUGAUCGCUGUCUGGGGUCAGCCAGAGGAGGGGCCUGAGAAAAUGAGAUUCAGGGACAGUGAGCUGAAGGGUCCUGGGAGAAAGAGAAGAAAGGAAAACAUUCCCUUGAAGCUGUGCUGACUACCCUGGUGGUCUAGAGCAGGCCAGGAAGCGAGAGGUUCCCACAGGCGGUAGUGUUAGGGAAUUGAUCAUGUUAAAUUAUGCUGUGAUGCCGCCUCACAGGCUGCAUUCCUGGUACA